CAGCAGCCGCGGUAAUACCGGCGGCCCGAGUGGUGGCCGCUAUUAUUGGGCCUAAAGCGUCCGUAGCCGGGCCCGUAAGUCCCUGGCGAAAUCCCACGGCUCAACCGUGGGGCUUGCUGGGGAUACUGCGGGCCUUGGGACCGGGAGAGGCGGGGGGGACCCCUGGGGGAGGGGUGGAAUCCUAUAAUCCCAGGGGGGCCGCCCGCGGCGAAGGCGCCCCGCUGGAACGGGUCCGACGGUGAGGGACGAAGGCCAGGGGAGCAAACCGGAUUAGAUACCCGGGUAGUCCUGGCUGUAAAGGAUGCGGGCUAGGUGUCGGGUGAGCUUCGGGCUCGCCCGGUGCCGUAGGGAAGCCGUUAAGCCCGCCGCCUGGGGAGUACGGCCGCAAGGCUGAAACUUAAAGGAAUUGGCGGG
rnacentral:rRNA from 1 species